ensembl:lncRNA
AUGGUUGCUAGAUUAUUCUCAGCUGUGAAUGUCAUGUUGUGGUUAGGGAAGAAGACAAAGAAGAAAAGAGAAAAAAACAAGAGCGAUCAUGGUGCCGCAGGAGGCCCGUGGCUAGAGAAACUGCACAUGUGUGAUAAUUCCAUUGAUGGCUCAGGAAAGGAGGAACUAAAUCAAUUCCUGGAGAUCCUUUGCAUUAUAGUUAAGUUCUCCAGUUGCCUGACCGAACUGGAUCUCAGUGAGAAUCACAUUGGAGAAGAUGGCGCAAAAGUGUUUUUAGAGGCCCUGAGAGAGAGACAAGCAACUAAACUAUCUCCAAUAAAAAUCCAGGUUUCAACACGCAUCUCCACAGAAACAUUCAGGGCCAUUUUGAAAAGUGCAAAGGAGCUUAAAUCUGGGAAAAAGAGAAGAAAGACUAAGGGAAAAAAGUAG